rnacentral:rRNA from 1 species
GGUUCGAUCACGGCCUGGGAUUGAACGCUGGCGGGAUGCUUUACACAUGCAAGUCGAACGUGGCAGCACGGACUUCGGUCUGGUGGCGAGUGGCGAACGGGCGAGUAAUGCAUCGGAACGUGCCUAGUAGCGGGGAUAACUACGCGAAAGCGUAGCUAAUACUGCAUACUACCCUUCGGGGAAAGCGGGGACCUUCGGGCCUGCACUAUUAGAGCGGCCGAUAUCGGAUUAGCUAGUUGGUGGGGUAACGGCUCACUACAUGAUCCGUGGCUGGUUUGAGGGACGACCAGCCACACUGGACUGGAGACACGGCCCAGACUCCUACGGGAGGCAGCAGUGGGGAAUUCUGGACAAUGGGGGAACUUCGAUCUAGCCAUCCGCGUGUGUGCGAUGCAUACUGGUUAAAAAGCACCUUUUUGGCAGGAAAGAAACGGCACGGGAUAAUGGCUCCCGUGCAACUGACGGUACCUGCAGCACCGGCUAAACGCCGCGCCAGCAGCCGCGGUAAUACGUAGGGUGCAAGCGUUAAUCGGAAUUACUGGGCGUAAAGCGUGCGCAGGCGGUUCGGAAAGAAAGAUGUGAAAUCCCAGAGCUUAACUUUGGAACUGCAUUUUUAACUGCCUUGUUAGAGUGUGUCAGAGGGGAGGUGGAAUUCCGCGCGGGGCAGUGAAAUGCGUAGAUAUGCGGAGGAACACCGAUGGCGAAGGCAGCCUCCUGGGAUAACACUGACGCUCAUGCACGAAAGCGUGGGGAGCAAACAGGAUUAGAUUCUGGUGAAUCACGUCUUGGUAAAACGAUGUCAACUAGCUGUUGGGGCCUCGGGCCUCGGUAGCGCAGCUAACGCGUGUAGUUGACCGCCUGGGGAGUACGGUCGCAAGAUUAAACUCAAAGGAAUUGAUUGUGACCUCAUACAAGCGGUGGAUGAUGUGGAUUAAUUCGAUGCAACGCGAAAACCUUACCUACCCUUGACAUGUCUGAAUCCCGAAGAGAUUUGGGAGUGCUCGCAAGAGAAACCGGAACACAGGUGCUGCAUGGCUGUCAUCGCCGUCGUAGAUGGCAAGUCCCGCAACGAGCGCAACCCUUGUCAUUAGUUGCUAUUGGUGGCAACACCGACGAGACUGCCGGUGACAAACCGGAGGAAGGUGGGGAUGACGUCAAGUCCUCAUGGCCCUUAUGGGUAGGGCUUCACACGCACAAUGGUCGACAGAGGGCUGCCAACCCGCGAGGGGAGCCAAUCCCAGAAACCCGAUCGUAGUCCGGAUCGCAGUCUGCAACUCGACUGCGUGAAGUCGGAAUCGCUAGUAAUCGCGGAUCAGCAUGUCGCGGUGAAUACGUUCCCGGGUCUUGUACACACCGCCCGUCACACUAUGAUGGCUUUACCAGAAGUAGUUAGCCUAACCGUAAGGAGGGCGAUUACCACGGUAGGAUUCAUGACUGGGGUGAAGUCGUAACAAGGUAA